GUUGCCGCUGGCCUAGACGUGGUCGCCAGGGUCUCCCUUUGAUGUAAUCACCACGCUCCGCAGCGUGAUGGAGAACACUUGAAGUUGAGAACGGGGAACAACGGCAACAUUUGACUUUUGAAGUACAGCGUACUCUCUUGCUCAAGAACGACGUGGGGCUGCAACAACUUAUUAACGGCUUGUUAUCUACAUGGCGACUUGGGGCACUGACUGGGAGGGGCGCCCUUUGGCAGGUCGUACAACCAGGUGUCAGAACCCAACCUAUCAUCAUCUAGGCCGGCGGUCCCGGAACUUCACAGUCCGUCGAGAAUUAUUCCUGGCCCAUGGUGGUCUCCGGAAUCAAUGUAAACACGACAAUGAUCUAUAUAUAGUGUGACAUAGCGAGGUGACUUAGAUCGAUACACCUGAUGAUAAUUAGACGGCAAAAGUCGUUGAAAAGAGACAGAUGACGAACUAUUUUCUUUCACCAUACAUGCAUGACUGGUGUUUUCCAGAAUUGGACAAAUAUUUUUUUCAAAAAGAGUGACAACUCACACGGCCAUUAGAGCAACGUGGCUGCCAUAGGAUUAAUUUGACGAGAAUUUUUGGAAGUGGACGAAUUAAAGUUUUAGAUUUGUGAUAAAUGUACCAAAUGUGUGUAAAUAGACAUCAUGGUGCACUAACACAGAUUGAAAAGGCCCAAAAUUCAGCGGAUAUAUCGGUGACCACGCCCCCUAACGUCCAGAUGAACCCGACUGACCCCGGUACGUAUGUCAGACGAGCCCCUCACUCACAAAUCGUGGACAAAUUCUUCGCGGAAUAAAAGAAAUGUCAUUUACAGUUUGUGCACCUGUAUUGGUGAGGAGAAUUAUAUAACGAGUGUCGAAUAUCUCCUAUUGUCAUGCGGCCACUUCCUUCAACUCAUUGAAAUCUAAUUACAGUCUCCGCUGUUGUUGCGAGGAUCCGAUUUCAAUUCAGCAAGAGAUAAAUCUCUUCUCUGUGUAUUCCUGGUCGUCAUUUGUCUAAAAUACCUACAAUUCUGACAGAAAUAUUUAUAUCCUGAUAAAACAGAGAUUAAAAUCGUAUUUCUUCAGAAAUAAAAUUGAGCUUAUAAAAUCCACGCCACCGAUUUGGUCAGCACGAGCCCAGGUGUUUCGGCCGCGGGGUCCGGAGUUUUGUUUAUCGGGCUGGACAAACGUCAAUUCUCCUUACCACAGUAAAGGGCUACAUUCUUUGGUCAUCCCUAAAAUAAACAGGAAUCGCUUUGGUAAGAAAAAAUCUCCCCAUCACUCUGUACACCUGUGUAAUGAGUUUGCCCGCAGACACCCUUCAUUCUGUGCUCCGUCCGUAACGUCCAGUAUAUGGGAACAAUACCGGUCCGAACCAUUGAUCCUGCCGAACGUUACUGGGAUCUCAGUACACGGUCUUGUUGUUGUAUCCACGGGGACCACAAAGCUACAGUUCAUUAUUUAAAAAAAAAACAUCCAAAAGAAAAGCAAGGUACACCAAUUGGUUGCGAUUCUGUAAAAAGGAAUGCAACUCGCAAACUAUAAAGGUUUUGUAUAGAUAUAUUGCUAGUAGCUGAUGACACACUUGAUGUACUGCGCACGAUUAAAUGCGUGUGUUGUUGGCUCAAAUCUAACAGUAAAGCGUGGAAAAAUCUGAUAAAUCUGUAAAAACAAUCAACAAAGAAAAAUUAAAAAAAAAAGAGCAAACCAAGAUAUUGGUGUGGUCGUAUCAGAAUUUGUUAAGGAGGCUUGAGGAUCAACAAAUUAACCAUUCCAGAUCUAUCUUAAAACUUCAUACAUUAAAUUUUUGGCUGUAAACAAUAAUUAAGUAAAGAAAACAUUAGAUAUAUUAACUUUGAAUUUUUAGUAUUUUCCUAUAUCUUUAUAAAGUGCUCUUCUUUUUAAGGAGAUUAUUAUGAUGUAAAAAAUGGCCACGACCAUCCAGCCCUAACAACCUUUAUGUGUACAAUACUAUAAAAAUGCUAAAACAAUCAGCUGUAUCUUUGGAUUUCGACUACUUGUCUUGACUAUUUUGCUUGUACUGUCUAUUUUGAUUGUCGUGAAUAUUUUGAUUGUCUUUAUUAUUUAGAUUGCCCUGACUAUAUUUAGAUUGCCCUGACUAUAUUUGGAUUGUCUUGACUAUUUUUAUUUGUCUUGGCUAUUUUUGGUUGUCUUGACUAUUUUCAUUUGUCUUGACUAUUCUAAUUUUCUUGAAUAUUUCGAUUGUCUUGACUAUUUGGAUCAUCCUUUUUUUCGAUUGUUAGGCUUAUUUAAAAUUUUGUACUAGUCUGCCAUUCUUUUUAUACUGUAUAGAAUUUCUAUCUAUCCUUGAAAAUACUUUUUUUUAAUAUUUCAUAUUUCCAUUAAAUUUAUGAGACAAUUUUAGACCAUUGUGAAUUAUAAACAUAUUUUUUCUGGUUGUUUAAAAGAGUAUUUUACAUUUUUUUAGAUUAUUUAUGCCCCUAAGGGACUCUUGAUUUGAGAACAGACAUAAACAUUAGAUAUGUUUCAGGACGUUGAUUACACGAUGUACUUUUUACUAAAAACGUGCUUUAUUUAAACUUUGUAAAGUUUUGUAACAAAUAUUUCCGAUGAUUGAAUCUUUCCUUUGUGGUUUUUUUUAGGUUGCACAUUUGAUGCAGAUGAAUGUCAAUUACCAUACCUGCUAGACUAUCAUCUUGAUUACCAUAUACAUUCAACAGCACGCCUUGUUAAUUUUCUGUUUUAAACAAUCGAUAAUUUUAAUGUGAGUUGAUUUAAAUUUUAGUUUCAGAUAUGUUUUUACUCGCUCAUUAAAUAUUUACCCUGCCAACGAG
rnacentral:sRNA from 1 species